UACGUAGGUGACCAGCGUUGUCCGGAUUUACUGGGCGUAAAGAGCGCGCAGGCGGUCGUUCAAGUCGCGUGUGAAAGCCCCCGGCUCAACUGGGGAGGGUCACUCGAUACUGAUCGACUGGAAGGCAGGAGAGGGAAGCGGAAUUCCCGGUGUAGUGGUGAAAUGCGUAGAUAUCGGGAGGAACACCAGUGGCGAAGGCGGCUUCCUGGCCUGUUCUUGACGCUGAGGCGCGAAAGCUAGGGGAGCAAACGGG
rnacentral:rRNA from 1 species